GACGAACGCUGGCGGCGUGCUUAACACAUGCAAGUCGAACGGAAAGGCCCUGCUUUUGUGGGGUGCUCGAGUGGCGAACGGGUGAGUAACACGUGAGUAACCUGCCCUUGACUUUGGGAUAACUUCAGGAAACUGGGGCUAAUACCGGAUAGGAGCUCCUGCUGCAUGGUGGGGGUUGGAAAGUUUCGGCGGUUGGGGAUGGACUCGCGGCUUAUCAGCUUGUUGGUGGGGUAGUGGCUUACCAAGGCUUUGACGGGUAGCCGGCCUGAGAGGGUGACCGGCCACAAUGGGACUGAGAUACGGCCCAGACUCCUACGGGAGGCAGCAGUGGGGAAUAUUGCACAAUGGGCGGAAGCCUGAUGCAGCAACGCCGCGGGCGUGAUGACGGCCUUCGGGUUGUAAACCGCUUUCGCCUGUGACGAAGCGUGAGUGACGGUAAUGGGUAAAGAAGCACCGGCUAACUACGUG
rnacentral:rRNA from 1 species